CGUCGAUGGAGCAGGCAGACGCCGCUGGUGGGUCUCCGGCAGAUAAAACAUCCAGCUGAUCUCAUAAUCAUUAUAAUCAUUAUUGAUGUCACAGUAAUCAACCAACACAGCUAUUUGUUCUCCCAAUGUCUGUUCUCCUGUUGUACUUCCUCCCAUGCCACCAUAUUAAGUUGGAAAUGGAGGCUCAAAGCAGUGAAAUGGUGGAAAAACUUCAGAGGACUGAAAAAAGAAUUUUCUUUAGGAACCCUUUUUUUUUUUUCUGUCUUGGAGCAUGAACUCACAGAGGCAUAUGCCAACUAUCCAUAUACAUUUGUAUGCCAAAUGUAGAUAUAUUUUCCUUAAUAAAUAUUCUUAAGUUUUCA